rnacentral:rRNA from 1 species
UACGUAGGGGGCAAGCGUUGUCCGGAAUCAUUGGGCGUAAAGCGCGUGUAGGCGGUUCGAUUAGUCUGCUGUGAAAGUCAGGGGCUCAACCCUUGAAUGCCGGUGGAUACUGUCGGGCUAGAGUGCGGAAGAGGCGAGUGGAAUUCCUGGUGUAGCGGUGAAAUGCGCAGAUAUCAGGAGGAACACCAAUUGCGAAGGCAGCUCGCUGGGACGUUUAACUGACGCU